UUUAAAAUAAUAAUUUAAACUAUAUUGUAAAAGUAUAUAUGCGAAGUGGAUUGAAUUAAAUUAUUUGUUCCAGUGUUCGAAAUCCGAGACACACGGAAAAUGAAAGUAUUGAAGAACCUUAUUUCAGUGUGUAUGAAAAGCGCCGGCUAACUUGACGCGCAUUGAAUGUACGAAUGAGGACAGAAGGAAAAAGGAAAACGCAAAAAUGAAACGCUAUUCUGACCGGAAGAGAACAGUGAAAAAUUGGUGGGAAGAAAAGGAGGGAACAAACGGCAUUCUGUAGACGAUCGUUGUAGAAGGCAGUCGUAACGACUGAAGUGUCCGCGAUUGUAAUUUGAAAUUUAAAUUGUUUCCAAGUGAAAAUACGACACCAUGCACGGUUGUUUGCAAAUACCCUUUAAUGGGUAAAAUAAUACUUAUUUUGGAAUAGCAUCAAUAUCUGUCAGAAAGCGGGUAAAUUCAGAAAUGUAAAAAGGGUAAAUAAAUACCCAUUACAGUAAAGCAACUGUAGUUUAAAAAUGGGUGUUUAAAAACCCAUUUAUGGGUGAAAAAUAGUUGGGAAUCAUUUAUAGUAAUUUGAAGCAGCUGUGCGACGCAGUCUACGCAUGCAAAAUUAAUGAAAUUGUAGUUAAUUGUUUGUAGGUUUUACUUUUUUUAUACAACGUUUACCGAUGAAAGGAAACAAUGAAGUGGUUGUCUCGUUGUUCCUGCCACCGUGCCUGUAGCUGACAUGAUCUACUACCAGCGACCAUCGAAAGGAAGUAACUGUUGGUGCAGAAACAGUAUAAAUAUCUUUAUACAUUUAUCAAGCGUAUAAAACGAUUAAUUGUAAUAAUAAAAACUAUUAUUUUAA